rnacentral:misc_RNA from 1 species
UCGCAAAAUAAUGAAAAAUAAAGUACUUUUUAUAUUGCAUUUCAAUGAAUAACUCAAAUCACUCUAAAUCCACUUAUCUGUUUUUCGCCUCCAUGCACAAUUCAAGAAGCAGAGAAUAAUAUCAAAGAAAAAAAAGAUCAUCAUGUGUACCUCAAAUGUCCCACAUUUUGCCAUGCGAAUUGCUCGAUAACAUCUCUAAUGAAAGGAUCAAGAUUAGCCUUCUUAGCACCCAGGGGGCGUGGACCUCCUGAGGCUAAAGAUGGAGCAUAUCUAUCCAAGCCAUGACCCAUUGAGGCAUGUAGAAAGAACUCUGCCCCAAGGUACUCUAAAUUUAGAGGAAAUUCAAGAAGAUCAAUAUCGUUUUCUGGGAUGGAGCAGGAGAUUUUGUGCUCAUCAUCAACAAUAUUUCUAAUGACAAGUUGAGAAGAAUAAGAGAUUGGAGUGAUGAGGAG